UCAAUAAGCGGAGGAAAAGAAACUAACAAGGAUUCCCCUAGUAACGGCGAGUGAAGCGGGAUGAGCUCAAAUUUGUAAUCUGGCGGUCUCGCGGCCGUCCGAGUUGUAAUCUGGAGAAGCGUUUUCGGCGCCGGUCCGCGUACAAGUCCCCUGGAACGGGGCGUCGCAGAGGGUGAGAAUCCCGUCUUUGACGCGGUCCGCCGGUGCCGUGCGAUGCGCUCUCGAAGAGUCGAGUUGUUUGGGAAUGCAGCUCAAAACGGGUGGUAAAUUCCAUCUAAAGCUAAAUACUGGCGAAAGACCGAUAGCGAACAAGUACCGUGAGGGAAAGAUGAAAAGCACUUUGGAAAGAGAGUCAAACAGUACGUGAAAUUGUUGAAAGGGAAACGCUUGAAGUCAGUCGCGUCUCUCGGGACUCAGCCGGGUUGGUUCUCGGUGUAUUUCCCGAGUCUGGACGGGCCAGCAUCGGUUUCGACCGUCGUAAAAAGGCGUGAGGAAUGUGGCACCCUUCUGGGUGUGUUAUAGCCUCUCGUCGUAUGCGACGGACGGGACUGAGGAACGCAGCGCGCCCCUUUCGGGGCCGGGGUUCGCCCACGUAACGCGCUUAGGAUGCUGCCGUAAUGGCUUUAA
rnacentral:rRNA from 1 species